GCUUUCUUGGUGUAGUUGGUUAUCACAUCUGCCUCACACGCAGAAGGCCGCCAGUUCGAACCUGGCAGAAAGCA
rnacentral:tRNA from 1 species